rnacentral:rRNA from 1 species
AGAGUGAACGCUGGCGGCAGGCCUAACACAUGCAAGUCGAACGGCAGCACAGGGGAGCUUGCUCCCUGGGUGGCGAGUGGCGGACGGGUGAGGACAACGUCGGAAUCUGCCUUUUUGUGGGGGAUAACGUAGGGAAACUUACGCUAAUACCGCAUACGACCCCGGGCCGGGAGGUUCGGGGUGAAAGCGGAGGACCUUCGGGCUUCGCGCAGAAAGAUGAGCCGACGUCGGAUUAGCUAGUUGGUGGGGUAAAGCCCACCAAGGCGACGAUCCGUAGCUGGUCUGAGAGGAUGAUCAGCCACACUGGAACUGAGACACGGUCCAGACUCCUACGGGAGGCAGCAGUGGGGAAUAUUGGACAAUGGGCGCAAGCCUGAUCCAGCCAUGCCGCGUGUGUGAAGAAGGCCUUGGGUUGUAAAGCGACUUUUAGUGGGAAGAAAAGCACUACGGUUAAUACCCGGUAGUCCGUGACGUACCAAAGAAUAAGCACGACUAACUCGUGCCAGCAGCCGCGUAAUCUA